rnacentral:misc_RNA from 1 species
GAUGAAGAACGCAGCGAAAUGCGAUAAGUAAUGUGAAUUGCAGAAUUCAGUGAAUCAUCGAAUCUUUGAACGCACAUUGCGCCCCUUGGUAUUCCGAGGGGCAUGCCUGUACGAGCGUCAUUAUAACCCUCAAGCUCAGCUUGGUGUUGGGGCCUGCUGCACUGGCAGCCCUUAAAAUCAGUGGCGGCGCCAUCUGGCUCUAAGCGUAGUAAUUCUUCUCGCUAUGGAGUCCUGGUGGAUGCUUGCCAUCAACCCCCAAUUUUUCUAUGGUUGACCUCGGAUCAGGUAGGGAUACCCGCUGAACUUAAGCAUAUCAAUAAGCGGAGGA